AUCGGGCGGUAAAUUCCGUCC
rnacentral:snRNA from 1 species